rnacentral:rRNA from 1 species
AAUAGAUACCCUGGUAGUCCACGCCCUAAACGAUGAUAACUCGAUGUUUGCGAUACACAGUAAGCGUCUUAGCGAAAGCGUUAAGUUAUCCACCUGGGGAGUACGGUCGCAAGAUUGAAACUCAAAGGAAUUGACGGGGGCCCGCACAAGCGGAGGAGCAUGUGGUUUAAUUCGAUGAUACGCGAGGAACCUUACCCGGGCUUGAAAGUUAGUGAAUGAGACAGAGACGUCUCAGUCCUUCGGGACACGAAACUAGGUGCUGCAUGGCUGUCGUCAGCUCGUGCCGUGAGGUGUUGGGUUAGGUCCCGCAACGAGCGCAACCCCUAUGUUUAGUUGCCAGCAUGUAAUGAUGGGGACUCUAAACAGACUGCCUGUGCAAACAGAGAGGAAGGUGGGGACGACGUCAAGUCAUCAUGGCCCUUACGUCCGGGGCUACACACGUGCUACAAUGGAUGGUACAGCGGGCAGCUACAUAGCAAUAUGAUGCUAAUCUCUAAAAGCCAUUCACAGUUCGGU